rnacentral:misc_RNA from 1 species
GUGAAUCAUCGAAUCUUUGAACGCACCUUGCACUCCUUGGUAUUCCGAGGAGUAUGCCUGUUUGAGUGUCAUUAAAUUCUCAAAAACCUAGCUGUUUUUCAAACGGUCUAUGAUUUUUGGAUGUGAGGGGCUUCUGCUGGCUUCAAUCGAGUCAGCUCCCUUUAAAUGCAUUAGUGGUUGCUUUCAUUCACUAGAGUGUGAUAAUAUAUCUACGCUCAGAGUUGAAUAAAGCUUUCAUCCGCUUCGAACCGUCUUUGCACAACUCUUGACCAUUUGACCUCAAAUCAGGUAGGACUACCCGCUGAACUUAAGCAUAUCAAUAAGCGGAGGA